AACCGCAUGGUUUUCUUUUAAAAGAUGGCUCUGCUAUCACUUCUGGAUGGACCCGCGGCGUAUUAGCUAGUUGGUGAGGUAAAGGCUCACCAAGGCAGUGAUACGUAGCCGACCUGAGAGGGUAAUCGGCCACAUUGGGACUGAGACACGGCCCAGACUCCUACGGGAGGCAGCAGUAGGGAAUCUUCCACAAUGGACGCAAGUCUGAUGGAGCAACGCCGCGUGAGUGAAGAAGGGUUUCGGCUCGUAAAGCUCUGUUGUUAAAGAAGAACGUGGGUAAGAGUAACUGUUUACCCAGUGACGGUAUUUAACCAGAAAGCCACGGCUAACUACGUGCCAGCAGCCGCGGUAAUACGUAGGUGGCAAGCGUUAUCCGGAUUUAUUGGGCGUAAAGCGAGCGCAGGCGGUCUUUUAAGUCUAAUGUGAAAGCCUUCGGCUCAACCGAAGAAGUGCAUUGGAAACUGGGAGACUUGAGUGCAGAAGAGGACAGUGGAACUCCAUGUGUAGCGGUGAAAUGCGUAGAUAUAUGGAAGAACACCAGUGGCGAAGGCGGCUGUCUGGUCUGCAACUGACGCUGAGGCUCGAAAGCAUGGGUAGCGAACAGGAUUAGAUACCCUGGUAGUCCAUGCCGUAAACGAUGAUUACUAAGUGUUGGAGGGUUUCCGCCCUUCAGUGCUGCAGCUAACGCAUUAAGUAAUCCGCCUGGGGAGUACGACCGCAAGGUUGAAACUCAAAAGAAUUGACGGGGGCCCGCACAAGCGGUGGAGCAUGUGGUUUAAUUCGAAGCUACGCGAAGAACCUUACCAGGUCUUGACAUCUUCUGACAGUCUAAGAGAUUAGAGGUUCCCUUCGGGGACAGAAUGACAGGUGGUGCAUGGUUGUCGUCAGCUCGUGUCGUGAGAUGUUGGGUUAAGUCCCGCAACGAGCGCAACCCUUAUUACUAGUUGCCAGCAUUAAGUUGGGCACUCUAGUGAGACUGCCGGUGACAAACCGGAGGAAGGUGGGGACGACGUCAAAUCAUCAUGCCCCUUAUGACCUGGGCUACACACGUGCUACAAUGGAUGGUACAACGAGUCGCGAGACCGCGAGGUUAAGCUAAUCUCUUAAAACCAUUCUCAGUUCGGACUGUAGGCUGCAACUCGCCUACACGAAGUCGGAAUCGCUAGUAAUCGCGGAUCAGCAUGCCGCGGUGAAUACGUUCCCGGGCCUUGUACACACCGCCCGUCACACCAUGAGAGUUUGUAACACCCAAAGCCGGUGGGGUAACCUUUUUAGGAGCUAGCCGUCUAAGGUGGGACAGAUGAUUAGGGUGAAGUCGUAACAAGGUAGCCGUAGGAGAACCUGCGGCUGGAUCACCUCCUUU
rnacentral:rRNA from 1 species